AACGAACGCUGGCGGCAUGCCUAAUACAUGCAAGUCGAACGAGAUCUUCGGAUCUAGUGGCGCACGGGUGCGUAACGCGUGGGAAUCUGCCCUUGGGUUCGGAAUAACUUCUGGAAACGGAAGCUAAUACCGGAUGAUGACGUAAGUCCAAAGAUUUAUCGCCCAAGGAUGAGCCCGCGUAGGAUUAGCUAGUUGGUGGGGUAAAGGCCCACCAAGGCGACGAUCCUUAGCUGGUCUGAGAGGAUGAUCAGCCACACUGGGACUGAGACACGGCCCAGACUCCUACGGGAAGCAGCAGUAGGGAAUAUUGGACAAUGGGGGAAACCCUGAUCCAGCAAUGCCGCGUGAGUGAUGAAGGCCUUAGGGUUGUAAAGCUCUUUUACCCGGGAUGAUAAUGACAGUACCGGGAGAAUAAGCUCCGGCUAACUCCGUG
rnacentral:rRNA from 1 species